AGGAGACUGAAGACAUUAUUCAGUUAUUACUACUUGUAGUUAGCGAUAAUUUUGCAGAGGGCUGGCUCUCGAAACCCAGCUGUGUUAAUUGUUUUUUAACUGUUGCUCUUUGUUAUUGCUCUUUGGGUUCUUGUUUCCCAGAUUGACCUAUUGUUACAGACUUGGAUCAUUGCUGUAGCUAUUUUCUCAUUAUGAAUAUGGAAUGAAAUGUUAUUACUGCUCUGUUUGAUCUCAUUACAAUCUUGUUCAAUUAUAAAUGAUGAAAAGAACAUUGAGAGUGAAUUUGUAUCUGUGACUUAUACCCAAUUUCCUUUUUUGUUUGUGAGUGAUUUGGGGCUGUUGAUUGGGCUGUUGUUUGGAAGAAACUGGGAUUGUUGAACCUAUUGGAAGGAGCUGCUGGAACCAAUAGCAAGGAGGACUGUUAGCCAUUCAUUUAGGUUUGCAACAGUUUGUAAAUAAAAGUUGUAUUAAAGUGCAUACAAAAUUAGAGAGAGCAUAUGUGUGCCACGAUAGAGAGCACAGUAAUAUCGUCCUCUCGUAAUCAUUUUCAUCCAUAGUGAAAUUUUCUCAAUGGUGUGUCCAUUCCUGGUUUUGAAUUUUUCACGAAAAUAUUUGCGCUCCUAUAAUGAGUUUCCUUUGGUCAUGACAUUAAUGUAAUAGUAUUCUUUGUCCAUGACAGUAAUGUAAACGAUAGGGAGUCAUUUUUUGGCCAUUAUGCUUUGAAUUCCUAGUCAUGGAGACAAGAUCUUUUAUUUCUCUGUGCCAUUUGAGGAAACUCAACUUCUGUACUGGGAAAGAAGAGAAGAAAAUACAAAAGACUUCUGCUAGCGAGAAGAGAUGGCUGGUCUCUGCUACAUUCUGUUUCUUGUUUUCUCUUUUCUUUUGCUUCUAGUUCUUUGCUUGGCUCAAGAAGGAAAGAGAUUCAAUCCAAGAUGUCCACAUUUUGGUUGUGGUUUCCUUGGCGAUAUCAACUUCCCCUUCACCAACCGAUCGCAUCUGGGUUGUGGCUUGCUGAUUGUAGUUAGCUGCACUGAACCUGUUCCAAAGAUUCAGUCGGGAAAGCAUCGGACAUGGUUUGACAUUAUGGACAUCACUCGGAAUAAUCUGGUUAAGCUUUAUGAACAAGAUUUUGAACAACAGUUGACGCAAAGUACCCGCAAAUAGAGAAAACAAAACAAUCUCUUCUUCAUCUUAUAAUUUUCUUUAUUCAUAAUGAAAUUUUCUUCAUCAUCUACCCCUAGUUUUCCUUAUAUUAGGUUUUCCAAAUAAACAAUUGUGUUUUUAUGUUGAGUAUUUAUA